rnacentral:rRNA from 2 species
GGGUUGUGAGGUUAAGCGACUAAGCGUACACGGUGGAUGCCCUGGCAGUCAGAGGCGAUGAAGGACGUGCUAAUCUGCGAAAAGCGUCGGUAAGGUGAUAUGAACCGUUACAGCCGGCGAUGUCCGAAUGGGGAAACCCAGUGUGAUUCGUCACACUAUCGUUAACUGAAUACAUAGGUUAACGAGGCGAACCGGGGGAACUGAAACAUCUAAGUACCCCGAGGAAAAGAAAUCAACCGAGAUUCCCCCAGUAGCGGCGAGCGAACGGGGAGCAGCCCAGAGUCUGAAUCAGCUUGUGUGUUAGUGGAACGGUCUGGAAAGUCCGACGGUACAGGGUGAUAGUCCCGUACACCAAAAUGCACAGGCUGUGAACUCGAAGAGUAGGGCGGGACACGUGGUAUCCUGUCUGAAUAUGGGGGGACCAUCCUCCAAGGCUAAAUACUCCUGACUGACCGAUAGUGAACCAGUACCGUGAGGGAAAGGCGAAAAGAACCCCGGCGAGGGGAGUGAAAAAGAACCUGAAACCGUGUACGUACAAGCAGUGGGAGCACCUUCGGGUGUGACUGCGUACCUUUUGUAUAAUGGGUCAGCGACUUAUAUUCUGUAGCAAGGUUAACCGUAUAGGGGAGCCGCAGGGAAACCGAGUCUUAACUGGGCGUUAAGUUGCAGGGUAUAGACCCGAAACCCGGUGAUCUAGCCAUGGGCAGGUUGAAGGUUGGGUAACACUAACUGGAGGACCGAACCGACUAAUGUUGAAAAAUUAGCGGAUGACUUGUGGCUGGGGGUGAAAGGCCAAUCAAACCGGGAGAUAGCUGGUUCUCCCCGAAAGCUAUUUAGGUAGCGCCUCGUGAAUUCAUCUUCGGGGGUAGAGCACUGUUUCGGCUAGGGGGUCAUCCCGACUUACCAACCCGAUGCAAACUACGAAUACCGAAGAAUGUUAUCACGGGAGACACACGGCGGGUGCUAACGUCCGUCGUGAAGAGGGAAACAACCCAGACCGCCAGCUAAGGUCCCAAAGUCAUGGUUAAGUGGGAAACGAUGUGGGAAGGCACAGACAGCCAGGAUGUUGGCUUAGAAGCAGCCAUCAUUUAAAGAAAGCGUAAUAGCUCACUGGUCGAGUCGGCCUGCGCGGAAGAUGUAACGGGGCUAAACCAUGCACCGAAGCUGCGGCAGCGACACUAUGUGUUGUUGGGUAGGGGAGCGUUCUGUAAGCCUGCGAAGGUGACCUGUGAGGGUUGCUGGAGGUAUCAGAAGUGCGAAUGCUGACAUAAGUAACGAUAAAGCGGGUGAAAAGCCCGCUCGCCGGAAGACCAAGGGUUCCUGUCCAACGUUAAUCGGGGCAGGGUGAGUCGACCCCUAAGGCGAGGCCGAAAGGCGUAGUCGAUGGGAAACAGGUUAAUAUUCCUGUACUUGGUGUUACUGCGAAGGGGGGACGGAGAAGGCUAUGUUAGCCGGGCGACGGUUGUCCCGGUUUAAGCAUGUAGGCUGGUUGUCCAGGCAAAUCCGGAUAAUCAAGGCUGAGGUGUGAUGACGAGGCACUACGGUGCUGAAGUAACAAAUGCCCUGCUUCCAGGAAAAGCCUCUAAGCAUCAGGUAACAUCAAAUCGUACCCCAAACCGACACAGGUGGUCAGGUAGAGAAUACCAAGGCGCUUGAGAGAACUCGGGUGAAGGAACUAGGCAAAAUGGUGCCGUAACUUCGGGAGAAGGCACGCUGGUGUGUAGGUGAAGUCCCUGCGGAUGGAGCUGAGACCAGUCGAAGAUACCAGCUGGCUGCAACUGUUUAUUAAAAACACAGCACUGUGCAAACACGAAAGUGGACGUAUACGGUGUGACGCCUGCCCGGUGCCGGAAGGUUAAUUGAUGGGGUUAUCCGUAAGGAGAAGCUCUUGAUCGAAGCCCCGGUAAACGGCGGCCGUAACUAUAACGGUCCUAAGGUAGCGAAAUUCCUUGUCGGGUAAGUUCCGACCUGCACGAAUGGCGUAAUGAUGGCCAGGCUGUCUCCACCCGAGACUCAGUGAAAUUGAACUCGCUGUGAAGAUGCAGUGUACCCGCGGCAAGACGGAAAGACCCCGUGAACCUUUACUAUAGCUUGACACUGAACAUUGAGCCUUGAUGUGUAGGAUAGGUGGGAGGCUUUGAAGCGUGGACGCCAGUCUGCGUGGAGCCAACCUUGAAAUACCACCCUUUAAUGUUUGAUGUUCUAACGUUGGCCCCUUACCGGGGUUGCGGACAGUGUCUGGUGGGUAGUUUGACUGGGGCGGUCUCCUCCCAAAGCGUAACGGAGGAGCACGAAGGUUAGCUAAUCCUGGUCGGACAUCAGGAGGUUAGUGCAAUGGCAUAAGCUAGCUUGACUGCGAGCGUGACGGCGCGAGCAGGUGCGAAAGCAGGUCAUAGUGAUCCGGUGGUUCUGAAUGGAAGGGCCAUCGCUCAACGGAUAAAAGGUACUCCGGGGAUAACAGGCUGAUACCGCCCAAGAGUUCAUAUCGACGGCGGUGUUUGGCACCUCGAUGUCGGCUCAUCACAUCCUGGGGCUGAAGUAGGUCCCAAGGGUAUGGCUGUUCGCCAUUUAAAGUGGUACGCGAGCUGGGUUUAGAACGUCGUGAGACAGUUCGGUCCCUAUCUGCCGUGGGCGCUGGAGAAUUGAGGGGGGCUGCUCCUAGUACGAGAGGACCGGAGUGGACGCAUCACUGGUGUUCGGGUUGUCAUGCCAAUGGCACUGCCCGGUAGCUAAAUGCGGAAGAGAUAAGUGCUGAAAGCAUCUAAGCACGAAACUUGCCCCGAGAUGAGUUCUCCCUGAGACUUUAAGUCUCCUGAAGGAACGUUAAAGACGAUGACGUUGAUAGGCCGGGUGUGUAAGCGCAGCGAUGCGUUGAGCUAACCGGUACUAAUGAACCGUGAGGCUUAACCUUACAACGCCGAAG